rnacentral:rRNA from 1 species
AACGAACGCUGGCGGCAUGCCUAACACAUGCAAGUCGAACGAGACCUUCGGGUCUAGUGGCGCACGGGUGCGUAACGCGUGGGAACCUGCCCUUAGGUUCGGAAUAACUCCCCGAAAGGGGUGCUAAUACCGGAUAAUGUCUUCGGACCAAAGAUUUAUCGCCUUUGGAUGGGCCCGCGUUGGAUUAGCUAGUUGGUAGGGUAAAAGCCUACCAAGGCGACGAUCCAUAGCUGGUCUGAGAGGAUGAUCAGCCACACUGGGACUGAGACACGGCCCAGACUCAUACGGGAGGAAGCAGUGAGGAAUAUUGGACAAUGGGCGAAAGCCUGAUCCAGCAAUGCCGCGUGAGUGAUGAAGGCCUUAGGGUUGUAAAGCUCUUUUAGCCGGGAUGAUAAUGACAGUACCGGGAGAAUAAGCUCCGGCUAACUCCGUG